GAUGAACGCUGGCGGCGUGCUUAACACAUGCAAGUCGAACGAUGAACCGGGUGCUUGCACUUGGGGAUUAGUGGCGAACGGGUGAGUAACACGUGAGUAACCUGCCCUGGACUCUGGGAUAACCCCGAGAAAUCGGAGCUAAUACCGGAUAGGACCUUUCCUCGCAUGAGGUUUGGUGGAAAGUUUUUUCGGUUUGGGAUGGACUCGCGGCCUAUCAGCUUGUUAGUGAGGUAAUGGCUCACCAAGGCGUCGACGGGUAGCCGGCCUGAGAGGGUGACCGGCCACACUGGGACUGAGACACGGCCCAGACUCCUACGGGAGGCAGCAGUGGGGAAUAUUGCACAAUGGGCGCAAGCCUGAUGCAGCAACGCCGCGUGCGGGAUGACGGCCUUCGGGUUGUAAACCGCUUUUAGUAGGGAAGAAGCCUUCGGGUGACGGUACCUGCAGAAAAAGGACCGGCUAACUACGUGCCAGCCGCCGCUGUAAUAC
rnacentral:rRNA from 1 species